AAAUUGAAGAGUUUGAUCAUGGCUCAGAUUGAACGCUGGCGGCAGGCCUAACACAUGCAAGUCGAGCGGAAACGAGUUAUCUGAACCUUCGGGGAACGAUARCGGCGUCG
rnacentral:rRNA from 1 species